ACUGCGUCUGCACCUGAACGCCUAUCGCGACUUGGUUCUAAUGGCCUGCUCGUUUACGUCUAUUACGAGCGUCUCUAAUUGACGCCUAUGUAUUCCGAUUGCCAUCUCACAGUAAAUGCUCAAGACGCGUUGGCGUUAUCGGGCUUUAUCCAGCGACGAGCUUGCACCGCUUGCAAAGUUACAUUUUCGAUGCAGCGAUUCGAAAGGAAAAUUUCCUCUGCGAAAUUACAGGUGCUUUUCCAGUCAGGUGUUCAAGCUGGAGAUCGAUGGAAAGAGUCUGUUAAUUAGGUAUAAGGCGUAAUUAUGCUUUGAUCGAUGCUGAGAAGAAGAAUACAGCGACAGGAUAUCGAGGAGCUUAUUGCAGAACCUUUGUAAAUUCCGGACUAAACAUCUGUAGUUUGCACGAUAAAUCAAAGCUGACCACUAGGAUCGUAGGAAAGCGUCGAUGCUACGUGACGCACAAUGCAAGCUCGCGGUGAGCGUAAUAGGUG